rnacentral:tRNA from 1 species
AAGGAAUUAGUUGAAAGAAUAAUAUUAGAUUGUCAAACUAAAGUAACUAAGAAUCUUAGUAUUCCUUG